AAGUCGUAACAAGGUUUCCGUAGGUGAACCUGCGGAAGGAUCAUUAACACGUAUCUGCUCCGGAAUCUUUUCAACAGCAAUCCCAGUAAAUCAUUGUUGAACAGUUUUGAUUUGGGACCUCUGUUGAGGAGUGAACGUUGAGACGGUUGAGAUAGGGGCAUGGCUUCCCGAAUCAAUCAUCAAAUGAAAGCGUUGGUGAUUGUGUAAGGAUAACGCUUCUCGGUCGCUGGAGGCCCACACGGCCGGCGGACAUGCCUCAUGGGCGCAAGCCCCUUAAUAACCCCACUAACUUACCUCACCUGCCGCGAAAGCCGCAGGUGCAAAAAACGAACAACUGUUAACAAUGGAUAUCUUGGUUCUC
rnacentral:misc_RNA from 1 species